UAGAAGUCGUAACAAGGUCUCCGUUGGUGAACCAGCGGAGGGAUCAUUACCGAGUUUACAACUCCCAAACCCCAAUGUGAACGUUACCAAUCUGUUGCCUCGGCGGGAUUCUCUUGCCCCGGGCGCGUCGCAGCCCCGGAUCCCAUGGCGCCCGCCGGAGGACCAACUCCAAACUCUUUUUUUCUCUCCGUCGCGGCUCCCGUCGCGGCUCUGUUUUAUUUUUGCUCUGAGCCUUUCUCGGCGACCCUAGCGGGCGUCUCGAAAAUGAAUCAAAACUUUCAACAACGGAUCUCUUGGUUCUGGCAUCGAUGAAGAACGCAGCGAAAUGCGAUAAGUAAUGUGAAUUGCAGAAUUCAGUGAAUCAUCGAAUCUUUGAACGCACAUUGCGCCCGCCAGUAUUCUGGCGGGCAUGCCUGUCCGAGCGUCAUUUCAACCCUCGAACCCCUCCGGGGGGUCGGCGUUGGGGAUCGGCCCCUCACCGGGCCGCCCCCGAAAUACAGUGGCGGUCUCGCCGCAGCCUCUCCUGCGCAGUAGUUUGCACACUCGCACCGGGAGCGCGGCGCGGCCACAGCCGUAAAACACCCCAAACUUCUGAAAUGUUGACCUCGGAUCAGGUAGGAAUACCCGCUGAACUUAAGCAUAUCAAUAAGCG
rnacentral:rRNA from 1 species